rnacentral:rRNA from 1 species
AGCGAACGCUGGCGGCAGGCCUAACACAUGCAAGUCGAACGGACCCUUCGGGGUUAGUGGCGGACGGGUGAGUAACACGUGGGAACGUGCCUUUAGGUUCGGAAUAGCUCCUGGAAACGGGUGGUAAUGCCGAAUGUGCCCUUCGGGGGAAAGAUUUAUCGCCUUUAGAGCGGCCCGCGUCUGAUUAGCUAGUUGGUGGUGUAACGGACCACCAAGGCGACAAUCAGUAGCUGGUCUGAGAGGAUGAUCAGCCACAUUGGGACUGAGACACGGCCCAAACUCCUACGGGAGGCAGCAGUGGGGAAUCUUGCGCAAUGGGCGAAAGCCUGACGCAGCCAUGCCGCGUGAAUGAUGAAGGUCUUAGGAUUGUAAAAUUCUUUCACCGGGGACGAUAAUGACGGUACCCGGAGAAGAAGCCCCGGCUAACUUCGUGCCAGCAGCCGCGGUAACAC